CUACUUACCUGGCAGGGAGAUACAGAUCCAGAUCGGGUGGUUCACCCAGGGCGAGCUAACCAUGCACUCCGGUUAUGGCUGACCCCUGCGAAUUCCCACAAAUUGUGGAAUCUCGACUGCAUAAUUGUGUUAGUGGGGGACUGCUUUCGCGCUCUCCCCGA